rnacentral:rRNA from 1 species
CCCAAUUAUAGCGCCGUGGAACCACCUGAUCCCAUGCCGAACUCAGAAGUGAAACGCGGUAGCGCCGAUGGUAGUGUGGCAUUCGCCAUGCGAGAGUAGGACACUGCCAGGC